AAGUAUCAUGUAAAUGAAAUUGACAUCCUCCAACAGCUGUAAAGUGUAAAACGAUGAAUUUCAUGAAUUCCCAAGCGACACCUCUGUGAUCUGGGUAUAAGAAUAAUGACCGGGACACGGAUUCUAUGUGCCCUUCUGUUGUUAGUCCUGCCCGGGGGUCAUGGACUUUGUCCGAGUAAGAAUGGGACGGAUGUGGAUUGGUGGAUUAUCUACCAACAGCGGUCCAUGCCGUUCUUUCAUUUCUAUGUGGAUAGUACCAGUAAUUCGGAUGUGUCGUACCACCGCCCCGAGGCCCCGGACAGCGCCCUGUCCAGGGCAGUCACCCUGGUCACCAAUGGCGCCCUCCCUCAGUACUUCCUGUACUCUUACGACCUGAUCAACAUAAUGGACGUGUCCAACAGCAUGCCAUUCCCAACACACAGCAAAUGGAUGCAGGGGUUAUUAGCAAGUGAUGGUGGCACCGAGAAAGGGUUUUGGAUUCUGCACAAUAAUUUUCUUUUUCCCGCCAUGGAAGAUGGCGAGUUGCUGUUGCCAGAGUCCCAUUUUUGGAGAGCGGUGACCAUUGGAAGCAGUAGCGAGGAUCUGUUUUACAUAUGUCUGUCGUUAGAAAAUCGGGAAAGCUUACUCGAUGCCGUAAAAAGCAUACUAGCUGGAAACCCCUUUAUAUACCACAAAAGGCUUAAUGAUUUAAAUCUGGAAAAGUACUUCACCGAAAUCAAAGACAGAAACCAACCAUUUUCAUCGCUGGCUUCCGCUAAUAUUUUCAUGGAAUGCUUGACGGCGACAGAUGAAGCCAAACGUUAUCGAUGCCUGUACCACUACCAGAAGCCGAAAACAAAGAGCAUAGAGUGCAAACAGAGAAAAAGGACCACACAAAUCAACACAAGAGGCCAAAGAGGGAGGCACCAAAGGCAUUUGAUCAUCCCAAGAAAAAAGAAGUAGAUUUCAAGCAGUCCCAAAAUGGUCUUGAGAAGUUUUUUAGUUACGAGAACAGGGAGGAUGCAGGAGAAGACAGAACUAAUGCAAAACUGGAAAGGUACAUGGAUAUAAAAAUGCCUUUUGAAAAACCAUCGCGGGAAAAAGAGCCUCCAAAGACGUUGGUUAAAGUUGUCACAUCGGACGAAUUCGAACGCUUUGUGCUGAAUAACAGGAAACAACUUCUAGCUAUCUUCUGCCGGAAAGGUUGCAGGUACUGUGCAUCGGCGGAGCCAGAAUUCCACAUGUUGAUUAACCACUUUCUAAAGGAAGACGUUGAAUUCUAUCACGUGGAUGUGGGAGAGGUUGAGAUGCCCUACCAGCUGGAGGUAUCCUGGACCCCGUACGUCAGAUUUAAGCCAAGGGGAGUAACUGAGUUGUUCCCCUAUCAGUGGAAGGACUUCAGCGGGGAAGCCUACGACUUCCGCUCCCUUUACAAGUUCCUGGAUGAGCAUGUGGAAAGAAUAGAGAAAAACCAGAAAUCACGCGGAAGAUCCGAUGUAGAUGAACAAGCCUAUUACCCUUGAAGAAAUGAAGGGUUUCUGUGACAUUAAAACAAUUCAUGAUAUUUAUUUCUUUGAUAUUCCAUAUAAUUCAUUUAAAAUUUAAAAAAAAGCUUACUAUGCUUUGGUAACUUAAAAGAAUAUAUUAACCUUAUUAGCAUGAUCAAAUGACAGUUAUUGUUUCAUAAUGGAGGAAUGGAUUUUUUAAAUAUGUAUAAAUAAAUUCAAAAUAAAUCUUCAAAUACAU
rnacentral:misc_RNA from 1 species